ACCCAGUGUCAGUCCACCACCAUCCUUCACCUGGAUUCAUGCAGAGGUCUCUCUGCUUGUCUUCCUUCUGCAAGCCUUGCUCACUCCUUGCUCCACCAGUUCAUUCUCAGUGCUGCCGGAGUCCUCUUACCAAGAUAAAGAGACUGACUAUUGAUCAAUUUUCAUUGAUAUGGUGAUGGCCAACCCCUGACUUCAUGGCCAGUCAACAGGCAGCUCUGGGAUAUGGAUGGUCAGCAGUGCUGGCUAGUAGGUGUCACACCCUUCUGACAGAUUGUUCAUUUAUUAAAUACUUCGAGUACACGCUAAGCUCUCUGCUGGACACUGGAUACGAGGUCAAAGAGACUAUAUUUCAACCAACUGCCAAUCAAACAGGACUGGAUAACUUCCAAGCAGCACAGCUACUAACCCAUUACUCACAUGGACAAAGAGCUGGGACUCCUGAGAAAUUUGCAUUGUGGGUCAGCUCUAGCUAAACCCAACCUAUUCAGCUGAGACUCUCAUGAAAACAAAGGUACAUGAAAAGGCCUAAGGGCUGGGCAGCUUGAGGACAGGUCUGGCUCAGUCCUACACCUGGAGAAAAUGAGAACUGGCCCAAGAAGGCACUAGUAAUCAAGUCUGCUGUUUUGUACAAAUUCUCUCAGCUGUUUGAUCCUCAUAUCUUAUUAUUUUCUCAACUAUGAAAUAAAGCAAAGAGCCUUCAUGAUUGAUGGCUCCUGUCUCAGGAGGCUCAGCCUUCUGUGCAGGCAGGGACCUAUGCAAUGCAAUGUGAGGAUUCAAAGAAGAUGGUGAGAAUUCCACCAUCCACUUCCCACUUCCAACCUGCCUUCAAUUCUGGUCUACUCUGCUGCCUAUAACACCACCAUUACUGAUAAUGUAGGGCUCUGGUGUGCUACUGGUCCCUUUAAAAUGCAAAUCUAUGUCAAGUCCCUUGUGUUUUACUGUGGAUAUCAAUAAUCCUCUGGUGGGAAUGAUACAAGUGUGAGAUAACCACACCUUAGGAAAGGAUAAAAGGGCCUAAACCAAAACUGAGCUAAUAUGUAGCUACUAGUUACAUUGGCUACUGAACACUUGAAAGGUGUUCAAAUGGAGUCCAAAUUGAGGUGUGCUG